GUUUUUCAUGCGCAACAGAGUGGGGCAGCCAUUUUCUCUCUCUAUCCAAUUGAAGAAACUACAGUCCUGGUGACAUAUUAUCGAUUAUUUAUUCAAUAAAACAACUUGAGAAUUGAUUAUAAAAACAUUUGACAUGUUUCUCAUGAACUUUACGGAUACUAUUUGGAAUUUUUGUCUGCCCCGUUGUGACCGCUCGAGCCUGUGGAUUUCUGAACAUACGGCGCCAACCAAAUGGAGGUAUUUUGGAUAUAAAAAUUAUCUUUAUGGAACAAAAGGAACAUUUAUUGUGUAACUGGGAGUCUCGUGAGUGCAAAGAUCCGAAGAUCAUUGAAGGAAUGCCUGUCAUGAAGAUCUGGAUUCAGAGCAGGAAGACAAGAAGAUGGUUUUAGUGUCAUCACUUAAGAGCUAUGAAGCUUGGGCUCUCAGGCAGAGGAUUACCAACUGGUGCUGGAGAGUGAUGGACUAGAGGUGGAUAAGGAUGAGAUUUUCCUAGAACUCCACACUAGCACUUUUAUAGUCUUGAUGGGGGGAGAGUGCUGGGAGCCCAUGUCAUGGAAUUCAGCAGGGUGAGCUGAGAAUGAUGUCAGUCUUGGCAGCCAUGGAGGAGGGCACCAAAUUUGACCGAGG
ensembl:lncRNA